UUUCUCUUCUUCUCUCUCGAAAACAGACGCCACAACCACCACCAUCGUUUCUCAACCUUUUUUCAGCCGUCGUUAAUGGUGAUGAUGCUGGUGGUGGAGGAUAUCAAAUAUCUAUUAAUUAAUUAAUAUGAAUGAUUCUUCUUACUGGAUUUCGCAAAUCUCUGUUUCAUUAGUUGAUUAUGGUGGUGGCGGUGGCGGCGGCGCUAAUGGAGGAGCAUAUGUUUCGUUAGUUGUAGAUUCAAUCAAAGUUACUAACUGGAUGUUAAGCCAAAAUUGCAUCCAGUUGAUGUGAGAGGGUCGGAACUUUGUUCAGAGCAUGUACAAAGGACAAAUAAUGGUCAAAUUACUUCUUUCUCGAGUGGCGGUGCCAUGAAUUUCCAGGGAGAAGAAAAUGACUCCAGAACUGUACUUGUUACUAAUGUAAGUUCAUUUCCUUUGAUUAGUGUGAAAUUGAACUGAUCCUGUGGUGCAGUGGUAGCACGACUGACUCCACGUCAAAAGAUGCGUGUUCGAUUCACGUCAGGUUCACUAAUUUUAGUAUAUCAAAUUUUUGGAUCAACUUUGGAUGUUGACAACAAAUUUUGGGAUCAACUUCGGCUGUUGACUCCAUUCAGUGGGAUCAACUUUAGUUGUUGACUCCAUUCUGGGAUCAACUUCCAUUGUUGACACAAAAAAGCUAGAGUAUUUGUCAGUUAUUGUGUGAACUUUGGUUGUUUACUCUAUUUACCGGGAUCAACUUCCUUUAU